UUCCGUUUCGUCUAAUGGCAGGACGCCUGUUUCUGACACAGGUAACGGGAGUUCGACUCUCUCAACGGGAA
rnacentral:tRNA from 1 species